AGGACCAGAAAGAAAGAGAAGAGAUUAAAAAAAAAAAACAGAAAGGAAAUAUUGAAAGCUUGCUAUGUGCCAGACACUGUGCUUUUUUUUUUUUUUUUUGCUUUGGGGAAUGGAAAAAUCCAAUCUUCCCUUUCUGCAGGAGCGCCCCUUCUAAAGAAGACACACAGCACAUAAGGAAGGUUUCAGCUGCAAGUCAGAUGGAGAAGUUCCCUACUCCUUCAGGGGCAAUGACAAAACAGAUGGUGAUUGUUCUUUAAUUUUGCUUCCAGAAUGAAUUGAAAAUUGAGGCAGAGAAGUUGAGAAGGUAAUGAAUUUGGGUGGGAAUCCUGGCUUUGCCAAGGAAUCCUUCAGAAACUUUGAACAGGUUAGUUAAUGUCUCUUAGCUGCCUAAUUUUCCUCCUCGGUAAACUAAAUCGCACUGGGCUUGAUCGAUAAGGUUCCCCUCCCGCUCUAAUCUAGGAAUUCAGUGGGGGAAUUGGGUGGGAGAGCUCGCAUCUGCACCCCUGAGAGGAGGGAACAUUUGAUGAGGUCACGUGUUGCCGUAGUUUGGACUUUGCCCCCUUCCUUACGUGGUCCCAUGAUCAGCCGGGCCCCCCUCCUGUUCUCCAUCGCUCUGAAUGGACACUAACGGUGCCAUCUCAAGAUCAGACGCCUACCUCAGCUUUGCUUCCCUCCCCUCUCCCCCCUCCCCCCAAGUGCUCACGGGCAGGCCAUUUAAGCCGCUGAACUUGAGUUUUCAGUUCCUGAAAGGAAAAGAGGGAGCUGCGAGCUUGCGGCCAGUUCUCAAAUCUCGGUCUCCGACCCCUCUAGAGGAGUCUUGCAUUAGGACAAAGAAAAUCAUCAAAGCCAAAGCAGCUGACAGAAAGCAUCUGCAACAAUCCAUAACCAUGGACAACACUUCUCCAGCAAAAGGAAGGGGAUGCAGCUCCUCACCCUUGCUUCAGAACUGAGUAAUGUUGAUAAUUGGGCUGCAUUUGGGUCCAUUUUUAGAAUUCUUUUCCUUUGCAUUUCUUUAGUCACUAGCUAUAUAAAUAUAGAUCCAUAACUAUACCAUGUCAUAUGUAAUCAAUAUUAAUAGUGAUUUAGAGCCUUUAUUAUUUUUAAAUGACUAUAGAGAGCUUUGAUUUCUUCUUCCAAAAACUACCCAGUCAUAUUCUUUGACCACUUAUCAACUGGAGUAUGGCUCUUUAAAAAAAAAAAAUAAAUCUCAAUCAAUUUCCUACA
rnacentral:lncRNA from 1 species